GACGAACGCUGGCGGCGUGCUUAACACAUGCAAGUUGAACGGAAAGGCCCUGCUUUUGUGGGGUGCUCGAGUGGCGAACGGGUGAGUAACACGUGAGUAACCUGCCCUUUACUUUGGGAUAACUUCAGGAAACUGUGGCUAAUACCGGAUAGGAGCUCCUGCUGCAUGGUGGGGGUUGGAAAGUUUCGGCGGUUGGGGAUGGACUCGCGGCUUAUCAGCUUGUUGGUGGGGUAGUGGCUUACCAAGGCUUUGACGGGUAGCCGGCCUGAGAGGGUGACCGGCCACAUUGGGACUGAGAUACGGCCCAGACUCCUACGGGAGGCAGCAGUGGGGAAUAUUGCACAAUGGGCGGAAGCCUGAUGCAGCAACGCCGCGUGCGGGAUGACGGCCUUCGGGUUGUAAACCGCUUUCGCCUGUGACGAAGCGUGAGUGACGGUAAUGGGUAAAGAAGCACCGGCUAACUACGUG
rnacentral:rRNA from 1 species